rnacentral:rRNA from 1 species
AGCCGUAAGGUGGAGCUAAUCCCUUAAAGCUACUCUCAGUUCGGAUUGUAGGCUGAAACUCGCCUACAUGAAGCUGGAGUUACUAGUAAUCGCAGAUCAGAAUGCUGCGGUGAAUGCGUUCCCGGGUCUUGUACACACCGCCCGUCACACCACGGGAGUUGGAGACGCCCGAAGCCGAUUAUCUAACCUUUUGGAAGAAGUCGUCGAAGGUGGAAUCAAUAACUGGGGGGAAGUCGUAACAAGGUAGCCGUAUCGGAAGGUGCGGCUGGAUCACCUCCUUUCUAAGGAGA